ACAAACCGGAGGAAGGUGGGGAGUGACGUCAAGUCCUCAUGGCCCUUAUGGGUAGGGCUUCACACGUCAUACAAUGGUCGGUACAGAGGGUUGCCAAGCCGCGAGGUGGAGCCAAUCCCUUAAAGCCGAUCGUAGUCCGGAUCGUAGUCUGCAACUCGACUACGUGAAGUCGGAAUCGCUAGUAAUCGCAGAUCAGCAUGCUGCGGUGAAUACAUUCCCGGGUCUU
rnacentral:rRNA from 1 species